rnacentral:misc_RNA from 1 species
UUGGAUAUCGUCUCCAUGCUUGAGAAGGUCGCUUUUGCAACGAUGGUAACCUAUGCGCUUCCCACCGUCUAUGACAAAUGGGUUGAAAUGGUCAGCCUUUGGUCUGGUUAUUUGAGUGAUUUUUAUGGGUUGUUCCGGUGAAGUUAAAUCAAAAAUCUCAAUAUGCCGAUACUGUGCUUCUACACGAACAUCGCUGAACCUUGAUUUCUGACGGAUAGUUGCCACUGCCACCUUGGUGCCGUUGAUGGCUGCCGGAGUUACCGCAUCAAUUCCGUCCGGUGUCACACGGACUAGUUCACCGCUGCUAAUGUCGGCUCGGAACACGCUCCAAAAUUCCCCAACCUUUCGAUGGAAAAAUAUGACGUCGUCACUUCCCCAGGUUGGCCACCCACCAUUUGUUAUAACCAUCUUGCGCUUCAAAGGAGGCUUC